rnacentral:rRNA from 1 species
UACGGGGGGAGCAAGCGUUGUUCGGAUUUACUGGGCGUAAAGGGCGCGUAGGCGGCCAGCGCAAGUCAGUUGUGAAAUCUCCGGGCUUAACUCGGAACGGUCAACUGAUACUGCGCGGCUAGAGUGCAGAAGGGGCAACUGGAAUUCUCGGUGUAGCGGUGAAAUGCGUAGAUAUCGAGAGGAACACCUGCGGCGAAGGCGGGUUGCUGGGCUGACACUGACGCUGAUGCGCGAAAGCCAGGGGAGCGAUCCGG